AAAGACGGUCUUGCUGUCACUUAUAGAUGGAUCCGCGCUGCAUUAGCUAGUUGGUAAGGUAACGGCUUACCAAGGCAACGAUGCAUAGCCGACCUGAGAGGGUGAUCGGCCACACUGGAACUGAGACACGGUCCAGACUCCUACGGGAGGCAGCAGUAGGGAAUCUUCCGCAAUGGGCGAAAGCCUGACGGAGCAACGCCGCGUGAGUGAUGAAGGUCUUCGGAUCGUAAAACUCUGUUAUUAGGGAAGAACAUAUGUGUAAGUAACUGUGCACAUCUUGACGGUACCUAAUCAGAAAGCCACGGCUAACUACGUGCCAGCAGCCGCGGUAAUACGUAGGUGGCAAGCGUUAUCCGGAAUUAUUGGGCGUAAAGCGCGCGUAGGCGGUUUUUUAAGUCUGAUGUGAAAGCCCACGGCUCAACCGUGGAGGGUCAUUGGAAACUGGAAAACUUGAGUGCAGAAGAGGAAAGUGGAAUUCCAUGUGUAGCGGUGAAAUGCGCAGAGAUAUGGAGGAACACCAGUGGCGAAGGCGACUUUCUGGUCUGUAACUGACGCUGAUGUGCGAAAGCGUGGGGAUCAAACAGGAUUAGAUACCCUGGUAGUCCACGCCGUAAACGAUGAGUGCUAAGUGUUAGGGGGUUUCCGCCCCUUAGUGCUGCAGCUAACGCAUUAAGCACUCCGCCUGGGGAGUACGACCGCAAGGUUGAAACUCAAAGGAAUUGACGGGGACCCGCACAAGCGGUGGAGCAUGUGGUUUAAUUCGAAGCAACGCGAAGAACCUUACCAAAUCUUGACAUCCUUUGACAACUCUAGAGAUAGAGCCUUCCCCUUCGGGGGACAAAGUGACAGGUGGUGCAUGGUUGUCGUCAGCUCGUGUCGUGAGAUGUUGGGUUAAGUCCCGAAACGAGCGCAACCCUUAAGCUUAGUUGCCAUCAUUAAGUUGGGCACUCUAAGUUGACUGCCGGUGACAAACCGGAGGAAGGUGGGGAUGACGUCAAAUCAUCAUGCCCCUUAUGAUUUGGGCUACACACGUGCUACAAUGGACAAUACAAAGGGCAGCGAAACCGCGAGGUCAAGCAAAUCCCAUAAAGUUGUUCUCAGUUCGGAUUGUAGUCUGCAACUCGACUACAUGAAGCUGGAAUCGCUAGUAAUCGUAGAUCAGCAUGCUACGGUGAAUACGUUCCCGGGUCUUGUACACACCGCCCGUCACACCACGAGAGUUUGUAACACCCGAAGCCGGUGGAGUAACCUUUUAGGAGCUAGCCGUCGAAGGUGGGACAAAUGAUUGGGGUGAAGUCGUAACAAGGUAGCCGUAUCGGAAGGUGCGGCUGGAUCACCU
rnacentral:rRNA from 1 species